rnacentral:ncRNA from 1 species
UGGGGGAUUAAUUACGAACUUAAGAUUUGUGUUUAAGGAAUUGAUUUAAUUAUUGUUUAAAAUUAAAUAUAGUAUAAGAGAUGGGUUGAUGAUAGUAGAGUUAGAUUUCUAUUAAUGUAGAAUUUAAUUUAUAUUCAAGAUUAAUAAAGUUAGUGCCAGCAAUUGCGGUUAUACUAAAGAUCUAAAUAAAUUUGAGUGAGCAGAAUUGGGGGAGGAGGAAUGGACUAAUAUUAAAAGUUUUUUAUAUUGGUGGAAUAUUUAAAGGGGCUGAGUAUUAGGAAGGAAAAUAAAAUUUUUAGAUUAAGUUAAAAAGUUGGAUUAGAUACCCUAAUUAUUUUAGGGAAAUAUAGAGUUCAAUUAGUAGUUUUAUAAUGAAAAUUUAAUUUUUUGGCGGUAUUUUAUUCAUAUUAGAGGAACUUGUAAAGUAAUAGAUAUUACACAUUUUAAUAAACUAGGAUUAGUUUUAAGUACGGUUGUCUAAUUUAUAUUUAAAUAUUAUUAAUAAAAUGCCGGAGUAGGUUGUAAUUCAAAUAAAUGUAUAGAAUAUUCUAGAAUUUAUUAGUUACAUUAAAUUUUAUUUAUAACGGAUAUUAAAGUUUAAGAUUGGUUGAAGGUGAAUUUGAUAGUAAAAUAAAUUGAAUUAAUUAAUUUGAAUAUGUUUUAAAAUAUGUACAUAUUGCCCGUCAAUUUCAAUAAUAUUGAAGUAAGUCGAAACAAAGUAAAGGUACCGGAAGGUGUUUUUAGUUU